rnacentral:rRNA from 1 species
ACUACGUGCCAGCAGCCGCGGUAAUACGUAGGUGGCAAGCGUUAUCCGGAUUUAUUGGGCGUAAAGCGAGCGCAGGCGGUUGCUUAGGUCUGAUGUGAAAGCCUUCGGCUUAACCGAAGAAGUGCAUCGGAAACCGGGCGACUUGAGUGCAGAAGAGGACAGUGGAACUCCAUGUGUAGCGGUGGAAUGCGUAGAUAUAUGGAAGAACACCAGUGGCGAAGGCGGCUGUCUGGUCUGCAACUGACGCUGAGGCUCGAAAGCAUGGGUAGCGAACAGGAUUAGAUACCCUGGUAGUCCAUGCCGUAAACGAUGA